UUCAACAUUGGAAGAUGUUCUGGCAGUUUGCAUUAGUUUUGAAACUGAACCAAAAGAAGAGAAAUGCCCACUGACUUGGAUGCACUGGAGCUGUGUGAGGUGCUGAAGUGAAGAGUUGGAGCAGCUGAAGGUAAACACCUGCUGUCCUAGGAGCUAAUAAAGGCUGCAAAACACUGCCACAGAAGUACUACCACGGGGCAAAGCAUGAGAGGUGGCUGGUGUGUCUUCUUCUCUGCCGUGUGUGGGACUGUCUAGAAGUGGUGUAUGAACUGUGCUUCAAAUCCGGCUUGCUGGUGGAACUUUGACUGUGAGCUAACUGGUGUACAGGAGAGCAACUCCCAGCUAAUUGGUGGCACAAGAUGCAAAUGGAAGUAGGAUGAGAGGCUUCUAAAACAGGAGGUGGAGAAAGUGAACUCCAUUAACAGGAUCUUCAGCCAACCUCAAGGACUCAUUUCUGAUGCAACUAAAGGAAGGUGCAAGCUCCUACUUUAAGGAUCACAACAGCCAGUGUAUAGUGUCUGGUCCAGUUAGAAUGAUCUGAAGAAGUAAUUGCACUGUAGUCACCUCCAGCCAGAACGUCACCAAUAUGUCCCCUCUGUUCUGGGAGGCUGGGCAGACCUAUUGGCUUCCUCCUCACUUCGCUCUGAUAUCUCUGCACUAAUCUUGGCUAGCAGAAGACAAGAAAGUCAUAAUGAAUACUGACAAUUUCUGGAGGAAAAACUGUGAAGUAAUCUUAAGGGAAAUGAAGCUGAACAAAAGCAUUGGGAGUUUGAGCACAGGCCUGAUUCCACUAAGUUUGUCUCAGGUCACCUCAGAAGAAAGGCAAACCUUAUUGGAGUAAAGUAACUAAUUGUUAUACAA